GACGAACGCUGGCGGCGUGCUUAACACAUGCAAGUCGAACGGUAAGGCCCUUCGGGGUACACGAGUGGCGAACGGGUGAGUAACACGUGGGUGAUCUGCCCUGCACUUCGGGAUAAGCCUGGGAAACUGGGUCCAAUACCGGAUAGGACCACUGCCUACAUGGGAGGUGGUGGAAAGCUUUUGCGGUGUGGGAUGGGCCCGCGGCCUAUCAGCUUGUUGGUGGGGUGAUGGCCUACCAAGGCGACGACGGGUAGCCGGCCUGAGGGGGUGACCGGCCACACUGGGACUGAGAUACGGCCCAGACUCCUACGGGAGGCAGCAGUGGGGAAUAUUGCACAAUGGGCGCAAGCCUGAUGCAGCGACGCCGCGUGUGGGAUGACGGCCUUCGGGUUGUAAACCUCUUUCAGCACCGACGAAGCGCAAGUGACGGUAGGUGCAGAAGAAGGACCGGCCAACUACGUGCCAGCAGCCGCAGUAA
rnacentral:rRNA from 1 species